GCGAGAGGUGUGGCAGCGUCGGGGAGAGGUCGUUGGGGGGUAGGGUGAAUAGGAAUUAGUGGGCGUAAAGAGUGCUAAGGCGGUUGGUGAAGACAGGCGUGAAAUCAGCGGGCUGAACCGGGGAGCGGAGCUUGUGACUGCCAGGCUAGAGGACGGCAGAGGGGGGUGGAAUGCGACGUGUAGCAGUGAAAUGCGUAGAGAUGUGGAGGAACACAAAGGGCGAAGGCAGCCCCCUGGGGCGAUACUGACGCUCAUGCACGAAAGCGUGGGUAGCAAACAGGAUUAGAUACCCCUGUAGUC
rnacentral:rRNA from 1 species